rnacentral:rRNA from 1 species
UCCACGCCGUAAACGAUGAUAACUCGUUGUUGGCGAUACACAGUCAGCGACUAAGGGAAACCGAUAAGUUAUCCACCUGGGGAGUACGAUCGCAAGGUUGAAACUCAAAGGAAUUGACGGGGGCCCGCACAAGCGGUGGAGCAUGUGGUUUAAUUCGAUGAUACGCGAAGAACCUUACCUGGCCUUGACAUUGAGAGAACCCUGCAGAGAUGCGGGGGUGCCUUCGAGAGCUC